UACGUAGGGUGCGAGCGUUGUCCGGAAUUAUUGGGCGUAAAGGGCUCGUAGGCGGUUUGUCGCGUCGGGAGUGAAAACCAGGUGCUUAACACCUGGCUUGCUUUCGAUACGGGCAGACUAGAGGUAUUCAGGGGAGAACGGAAUUCCUGGUGUAGCGGUGAAAUGCGCAGAUAUCAGGAGGAACACCGGUGGCGAAGGCGGUUCUCUGGGAAUGACCUGAUGCUGAGGAGCGAAAGUGUGGGGAGCGAACAGG
rnacentral:rRNA from 1 species